UACGUAGGGCGCAAGCGUUGUCCGGAAUUAUUGGGCGUAAAAGAGCUCGUAGGCGGUUUUGUCGCGUCUGCUGUGAAAAGCCCGGGGCUCAACCCCGGGUCGCAGUGGGUACGGGGCAGACUAGAGUGCAGUAGGGGGAGACUGGAAUUCCUGGUGUAGCGGUGAAAAUGCGCAGAUAUCAGGAGGAACACCGAUGGCGAAGGCAGGGUCUCUGGGCUGUUACUGACGCUGAGGAGCGAAAGCAUGGGGGAGCGAACAGGAUUAGAUACCCCGUAGUCC
rnacentral:rRNA from 1 species